rnacentral:tRNA from 1 species
CCCCAGAAGCUCAGUUGGAAGAGUGCCCGUCCUCCGGCCGGGAGGUCCCUGGUUCGAUUCCAGGCGCGGGAG